UCUUCCCUCGAGCAGGAGCAACCAAGUCCCAGGAGCUGGCGGGUGGGCAGAGAGUGUCCCUUCCCGCCGCUGGUGCUGGGAUUGUGCGGUGCAAAAGCUGGCUUUGCCAUGCUAACUUGUGUUUGUGUAACUGGGCCCCAGCUUAAAUCUGGUUUCUCGGAAGGCAGGUUCAUGUGCAAAGGCUGUUUCAGGAGCACUUUCUAAAUAAAGCGCUAUCUCUUGCAAGGUUUCAGAUAUGAAAUUCUGGCAUAAAUUUUGUCACCACUUAGAGGAAACUAAGGCUUAGAGUGAAGACACUUACAGUCAAGAAUUGUUCUCUUAUUGUUACUUUAAGUGGAACUUGACUUUUUUCUUUCUUUCAGAAACACUUUUCACUUCCUUGUGUGAGAUGCAAGUCCUUUUCAUGACACAGGUUCAUAACCUCUUCUUGAGCUAAGAUCUGAAAAGAACAGCUGAUAUAAAUAAAUAAAUACCCAUCUAUCAGAGCUCUAGGUAAACUAAGGAGAAAUCGAUCACUUCCUUUCCUUUUUUUGCUGCUUAAGCAACUUGAUUCUGGGAGGUCACAAAAGGUACAGUAGGGUAUAUUUAGACAUUUAAAAAGCAUUCUGUAUCGUAUCUCCUACGUGCUACAUAGAGUACUUUAACAACCUCUUUUAAGAGAGUUUGAUGUAGUAUCUAGAAAAGGUGAUACUUUAUCUUCAUUUAGUUUUCUUAAAUCCUACGUAUAUCUCUAAAAGUUCCUAUAUACCAUUUGGAAAACUGUCACCACAUUUAUAGAAGCAGAUGCAGAGAUCCUGGGCUUGAGAAAUUCUGGUUGGCAGCUUCCAGGUUGUAAAAGGAUAUGAUCUUUUGUGUCUGAGCUUCCCCUGUCUCUCCAUUUUAUUUCCUUUUUGGGCAUUCUGUUAUUCAAUUGCCAUGUCAAGCCCUGGAGGACAAGAAAAGGUUUCCACUGGUUUGCCUAGUUGUUAAGCUUUCCUCAGGAAGCAGCCCAGCUGCCUUCUGUCUGUCUGUGACAGGCUUCCCUCGUCACACUGAAGUCCAGUCUGACACCUCUCUUUGGUCUCUGGCAGGAGGAGCAGGCUGCUGUCACUGCAGAUAAGAUGGCUGAGUGAUCCUCCUCUGGUCGUCUUUCUACAACGAAGAAAACUCCAGCUGGGGCUUUUACCUUUACUGUGCUCAUGUAUGGCAGUUUUGGAAUGAACUAAGAAAUCCAUUUACAGCCCACUUAACAAACAGUGAUAUUUGCAUCUGGAUAUCAAAGCAAGCUGUUUGCUGGAGUUCAAAGGCAGCUUUGCAAACAUUAAAUCUGAUAGCAGGUAGGGGUAGCAGCUCUUCCUGAAAGAGGACGUGGUGAUCAUGGCUGUGAGUUGCUCAAGUGCCUGAGAAAUGUCAUCUAAAUAGAGAGUAUAUAAGCAGAGGCUCAUGGAGGACCAGAAUUUGCAAAAUGAAAAAGAGGUGUUCUGGAACCAGGGAUUCAUACUGCUCAAAACUGAGAUGACUCUAAUAGUAGUUUUCAUUGCUCACAUGAGUCCAUUUUGAUUGCACUCAUUCUGCAAGCCAGACCAGCACCACAGUCACCCUCCAACCUGUGACUCCUUCAGGCUCAGGGUGGCAUCUCUGGGUUAGAUCUUCAUCUAAAAAACGUAGAGGCUUGUAGUCUUGAUCCUGCACAUUUCCCACUCCAUGAAAGUAAUUUUCCCAAAGUUGCGAUGUCUACGGCCUUGCCUACCCUUUCC